UGCAGGUGACUGCCAAGGCCAAUAUACAA
rnacentral:piRNA from 1 species